rnacentral:rRNA from 1 species
GACGAACGCUGCGGCGUGCUUAACACAUGCAAGUCGAACGGUGAAGGGACUGGUUUUUGCUGGUUCUGGAUGAGUGGCGAACGGGUGAGUAACACGUGAGUAACCUGCCCCCUUCUUCUGGAUAACCGCAUGAAAGUGUGGCUAAUACGGGAUAUUCUGGGUCUGUCGCAUGGUGGGCUCGGGAAAGAUAUUGUUUCGGUGGGGGAUGGGCUCGCGGCCUAUCAGCUUGUUGGUGGGGUGAUGGCCUACCAAGGCGGUGACGGGUAGCCGGCCUGAGAGGGUGGACGGUCACACUGGGACUGAGACACGGCCCAGGCUCCUACGGGAGGCAGCAGUGGGGAAUAUUGCACAAUGGGCGCAAGCCUGAUGCAGCGACGCCGCAUGAGGGAUGGAGGCCUUCGGGUUGUGAACCUCUUUCGCCAGUGAAGCAGGCCUGCCCCUUGGUGGGUGGGUUGACGGUAGCUGGAUAAGAAGCGCCGG